UGCUGCUGCUAAAGGUGAAGCUGAGGGAGUGGCAAGAUAUAGUCAAAAUCCUAAAAGGAAAAAGCUGCAAACUGGGGCACUUUAACUAGAAAGAUUAUCAUUUAGAAUAGAAGGCAGGAUAAAGAAUUUCUCAGACAAGCAAAAGUUAAAAUAAUAUAUCAAUACUAAUUGGAAAAGACCCUGAUGCUGGGAAAGAUUGAGGGCAAGA